CACAGUAGCCAUGCUGCCCUGGCCGUGCCUGAUCUCGUCCAAUCUCUGAAGCCAAGUAGGGUUGGACCUGGUUAGCACUUGAAUGGGGGACUGCCUGGGAACAAGGUGCACCCACUGGGG
rnacentral:rRNA from 1 species